AACCAGUCGGUGGCGUCGGUCUGGAAGGGGUU
rnacentral:scRNA from 1 species